rnacentral:rRNA from 1 species
GAGAGUAAAACAGUACGUGAAAUUGUUGAAAGGGAAACGCUUGAAGUCAGUCGUGCCGGCGUUGGAUUCAGCUUGCUUCGCGGAGCAGGCGCAUUUCCGCGCAUGGCAGGUCAGCGUCAGUUUUGCGCGGCGUGAAAAGGCUCGGGUAAGGUAGCUCUCUUCGGGGAGUGUUAUAGACCUGGGCAGAUGCGCUGCGCGGGACUGAGGAUUGCAGCGGACACCCCCUCGGGGGCGCGGCGACCGAACCCUGCUCGGCCACUCUCGUUCGAUAGCGUGCUAGCGGACGCGGGAGCGGCAGUGCACCGGAACAGGCAAGCCAGCGGUUCGCUAAGGAUGCUGACGUAAUGGCUUUAAACGA